rnacentral:rRNA from 1 species
ACGAACGCUGGCGGCAUGCCUAACACAUGCAAGUCGAACGAGACCUUCGGGUCUAGUGGCGCACGGGUGCGUAACGCGUGGGAACCUGCCCUUAGGUUCGGAAUAACUCCCCGAAAGGGGUGCUAAUACCGGAUAAUGUCUUCGGACCAAAGAUUUAUCGCCUUUGGAUGGGCCCGCGUUGGAUUAGCUAGUUGGUAGGGUAAAAGCCUACCAAGGCGACGAUCCAUAGCUGGUCUGAGAGGAUGAUCAGCCACACUGGGACUGAGACACGGCCCAGACUCCUACGGGAGGCAGCAGUGGGGAAUAUUGGACAAUGGGCGAAAGCCUGAUACAGCAAUGCCGCGUGAGUGAUGAAGGCCUUAGGGUUGUAAAGCUCUUUUACCCGGGAUGAUAAUGACAGUACCGGGAGAAUAAGCGCCGGCUAACUCCGUG